GAUGAACGCUGGCGGCGUGCCUAAUACAUGCAAGUCGAGCGAACAGACGAGGAGCUUGCUCCUCUGACGUUAGCGGCGGACGGGUGAGUAACACGUGGAUAACCUACCUAUAAGACUGGGAUAACUUCGGGAAACCGGAGCUAAUACCGGAUAAUAUAUUGAACCGCAUGGUUCAAUAGUGAAAGACGGUUUUGCUGUCACGUAUAGAUGGAUCCGCGCCGCAUUAGCUAGUUGGUAAGGUAACGGCUUACCAAGGCGACGAUGCGUAGCCGACCUGAGAGGGUGAUCGGCCACCCUGGACCUGAGACACGGUCCAGCCUCCUACUGGAGCCAGCAGUAGGGAAUCUUCCGCAAUGCGCGAACGCCUGACGGAGCAACGCCGCGUGAGUGCUGAAGGUCUUCGGAUCGUAAAACUCUCUUAUUAGGGAAGAACAAAUGUGUAAGUAACUAUGCACGUCUUGCCGGUCCCUUAUCAGAAAGCCACGGCUACCUACGUG
rnacentral:rRNA from 1 species